ensembl:lncRNA
CUUCUUUACCUUUCCCCCUUCUAGCACUUCUCUAGUACUUUUUCUUUUCUCUGACAACAUGUCUUCCAGGUAGCAGUAAGUUUUCUCCCCUUCUAGCAAUUUUAAACUCUUAUUCUGGACUUUCCUUAGGCCUUUUUUAGUAAAUUUAAAAGAAGAACUGGCUUCAACGGAUGAAGAGAAAGCUGAGGUACUGAAUGAGUUCUUUGCCUUGGUCUUCACUGGUGGCCAGGAUUCCAGUCUUUCUCACGUCCCUGAGCCCUGCACCCCCAAGCCUCCAGAUCAGGACAGCAUCCACUCUUAUCUCAGGACUUCCUUGAAACGAUCUAAGACAGGGAAAAGAUGUAUGUCUGCACUUAGUCUAUAACUCAUUAUAACAUUUCAG